CCCUUAGAUGUUCUGGGCCGCACACGCGCUACACUGAAGGAGGCAGCGUGUACUCCUGGAUCGAAAGAUUUGGGUAACCCGCGAAUCUCCUUCGUGCUAGGGAUUGAGGUUUGCAAUUAUCCUUCGUGAACGAGGAAUUCCCAGUAAGUGCAAGUCAUAAGCUUGCGCUGACUACGUCCCUGCCCUUUGUACACACCGCCCGUCGCUACUACCGAUUGAAUGAUUUAGUGAGGACUUCGGACUGGGACCGAUGCGGCUUUCGGGCUGCGUCGGUAUUCUGGAAAGAUGUCCAAACUGUAUCAUUUAGAGGAAGUAAAANUCGUANCA
rnacentral:rRNA from 1 species